CUACGGGAUGCAGCAGUGAGGAAUAUUGGGCAAUGGGCGCAAGCCUGACCCAGCCAUGCCGCGUGAAGGAUGAAUGCCCUACGGGUUGUAAACUUCUUUUGUACGGGACGAAACUUCCGAUCGUGAUCGGAACUGACUGUACCGUUCGAAUAAGCAUCGGCUAACUGCGUGCCAGCAGCCGCGGUAAUACGGAGGAUGCAAGCGUUAUCCGGAUUCAUUGGGUUUAAAGGGUGCGUAGGCGGAAUAGUAAGUCAGUGGUGAAAGCCUGCGGCUUAACCGUAGAAUUGCCAUUGAUACUGUUAUUCUUGAGUAUAGUUGAGGUGGGCGGAAUGUGUAAUGUAGCGGUGAAAUGCUUAGAUAUUACACAGAACACCAAUUGCGAAGGCAGCUCACUAAACUAUCACUGGCGCUGAGGCACGAAAGCGUGGGGAGCAAACAGGAUUAGAUACCCUCGUAGUC
rnacentral:rRNA from 1 species